CACGCCGCCGCCCGACGCGAAUGAACCGUGCCCAGAUGUCGCCAAGCUGGCCCCGCUGGCCGCCGCGGCACGCUGCGUUCCAACAACGGAAGGUGCCGGAUUGGACGCUGGGGAUACCGCCGACGGUCCGCCAGGGUCGGUUAGAUGGUCACAUUGCCCACCUGGUGGACCGGGGCGUCUCCCCGCAGGAAUCAAGCUGGUGUUCGCCCGCUCGCCGGCCGCCGCGGGGCGAGACGUUCACUCCCCGAUCGCAACAGAGCGCGCUGUCGGCUCUCCGCCCACCGUGGAACCCACUGUUAGUUCCCAGGUCGCCGGGGAACGCACUGUUGAUUCUCCAGCCGCCGCGGGACGCACUGUUAGUUCACCGACCGCCACGGAGCGCACUGUUGGCUCUCCAGCCUCCGUGGAACGCACUGUUGAUUCUCCAGCCGCCACGGGACGCACUGUUAGUUCUCCGACCGCCACGGAGCGCACUGUUGGCUCUCCAGCCUCCGCGGAACGCACUGUUGAUUCUCCAGCCACCGCGGGACGCACUGUUAGUUCUCCGACCGCCACGGAGCGCGCUGUUGGCUCUCCAGCCUCCGCGGAACGCACUGUUGAUUCUCCAGCCGCCGCGGGACGCACUGUUAGUUCUCCGACCGCCACGGAGCGCACUGUUGGCUCUCCAGCCUCCGCGGAACGCACUGUUGAUCCUCCAGCCGCCACGGGACGCACUGUUAGUUUUCCGGCCGCCGCGGAGCGCACCGUUGGUUCUCCGGCCUCCGCGGAACGCACUGUUGAUUCUCCAGGCACCGCGGGACGCACUGUUAGUUCUCCGACCGCCACGGAGCGCACUGUUGGCUCUCCAGCCUCCGCGGAACGCACUGUUGAUUCUCCAGCCGCCGCGGGACGCACUGUUAGUUCUCCGGCCGCCGCGGGGCGCACCGUUGGUUCUCCGGCCGCUGCGAGACGGACCGCUGGUUCUCCGGCCGCUUUGAGAUAUACCACCAUCCGUGAGCAGGUCGUGGCAGAUGUCCCGCCGUCGCCGACGCUGCUCGGCGGCCACAUGUGCGUCAUCCCGUCUACCGACGUGCCGGCCGCGGCACUGCGUCAUAGCCCGCAGCGAGGAGGCGCCAGCAAGUGCCGAACCGACCUGCCCGUCGCCAGGAGGCCUGACCGGCGCGCCGAGAGCACGCAGAGGCAGGCUGCUGCGUCCAUAAGAGGCGGCCAGCUCGUCUACCACGCCAACGGCUGCGUGAUUGACAAGAGACCGCGCAACACGGUGUUGGAGCUGGUAGGGCUGCACAGUCGCGUCCGCACGAGGCCGUGUGUCGUCAUGCUUAAUCUAAAACAGGUUGUGCGCGUAGAAGGAAGCGCGUUCGGUAUAUUCGGCUGAAUGUCCGCUGGGGUUUUGUUAAUGCAAUUUUACCAGACUGGCAUACUGUGCUACGCGAUUUUGCAAUGCGCGUUGGGAUUUUGCAAUCCGCGUUCUUUGCGAACAGGUGCCUUUGUGACGCGCAUGUGUUCUUGAAUGGCGAACAUAACACAUGCCACGAUGUGGCGUAACUGGCGUGGGCUUUCAUAUCUGUUAUUGUUUUCCUAAUGGGAUAUGUGUAAUAGAGUGCUGUGACAAUGCCGGCGGACCUAUGCGUUUAGUGCUGAGCGCAAACAAGUUGUGUAACAUCUGGUGUUAUAUGUUACAUACUAGCUUUACCUUUGACUUUAAGGAGUUUUCGUCUGUUUCUCGUGAGCACCUUUGGACCAUUGGGUGCAGAACCAAAGCAGGGAAAUUUACAAGUCCUACAGUAGCAAAGCUUUAAAGAAAGCUGUCGCCUUCCAUUGUUGUGUGCUGAUUGUAUUGAGGCGUGAAAUACAU
rnacentral:misc_RNA from 1 species